GACGAACGCUGGCGGCGUGCUUAACACAUGCAAGUCGAACGGAAAGGCCCUGCUUUUGUGGGGUGCUCGAGUGGCGAACGGGUGAGUAACACGUGAGUAACCUGCCCUUGACUUUGGGAUAACUUCAGGAAACUGGGGCUAAUACCGGAUAGGAGCUCCUGCUGCAUGGUGGGGGUUGGAAAGUUUCGGCGGUUGGGGAUGGACUCGCGGCUUAUCAGCUUGUUGGUGGGGUAGUGGCUUACCAAGGCUUUGACGGGUAGCCGGCCUGAGAGGGUGACCGGCCACAAGGGGACUGAGACACGGCCCUU
rnacentral:rRNA from 1 species